UGCAAGUACUCAACUCUCACACAUCACCAAAACCCUACUACUACUACUGCGAUGGCGUCCGAGAAAGACGCCGCUCUUGCGGCCGUUCCCUCCGAUUCUCCCACCAUGUCCGGACAUAAGGUGCUCUGGAUGUUACCAGCUCCAGACACGUGAUAGUAAGCAGCUCUGGACAUAUGUGGCGCUCCAGAUGUAACUAGCUCUAGGGACCUCACAUGGUGGUAUGGUAUUUCAGAUGGUCCGGAUGAGGGAUGGUGUUACACUGUUACAUCUUCAGGAAGCCAGUGAUUGUUUAAAUAUGAACAACAAGCUUUUGAUGUUAUAGCAGAAUAAGCUUAUGCCCAAGAACUAGAAGCUAAUGAAAAACUAGUAAAAACUGUAUAUAAAAGUGAGAGCUAUGUUGUUACAUAUCCAUUUAUUUUGUUGGAAGCAGUGUUGUAAAAAUCGGUAUUAAUCGGCGCCUAGGCGCUAGUCGGGUGUUGGCUGAUUAAUUUUGAGCUAGUCGGUCCUAGUUGGUGCAAGGCGGCCCAAAUCGGCCAAAGUCCGGCCCACUUUUUUUUAGUUUAACUAUGGCCCAAACAAAUGUUUUUAAUCAUUAAAUACUUGACCCAAGUUGUUUAGCUCCAAUCUUGCCCAAAAAAACAAGUUUCUAACCCAUUAUAACAUAUUUCGUGAGACCAUGACUGAUAUGUUAAUGUUUGAAUGUUUAAAUACUUAA
rnacentral:lncRNA from 1 species